rnacentral:rRNA from 1 species
UUAAAUUGAAGAGUUUGAUCAUGGCUCAGAUUGAACGCUGGCGGCAGGCUUAACACAUGCAAGUCGAACGGUAGCAGGGAGGAAGCUUGCUUUCUUUGCUGACGAGUGGCGGACGGGUGAGUAAUGCUUGGGGAUCUGGCUUAUGGAGGGGGAUAACGACGGGAAACUGUCGCUAAUACC